rnacentral:rRNA from 1 species
CCUACGGGGGGCAGCAGUAGGGAAUCUUUCACAAUGGGCGAAAGCCUGAUGGAGCAACGCCGCGUGCAGGAUGAAGGCCUUCGGGUUGUAAACUGCUUUUAUAAGCGGGAAAUAUGAUGGUAACUUAUGAAUAAGGAUCGGCUAACUACGUGCCAGCAGCCGCGGUCAUACGUAGGAUCCGAGCAUUAUCCGGAGUGACUGGGUGUAAAGAGUUGCGUAGGUGGCAUAAUAAGUAGCUAGUGAAAUCUGGUGGCUCAACCAUUCAGACUAUUAGCUAAACUGUUAAGCUCGAGACCGUUAGGGGUAACUGGAAUUUCUAGUGUAGGAGUGAAAUCCGUAGAUAUUAGAAGGAACACCAAUAGCGUAGGCAGGUUGCUGGGACGGUUCUGACACUAAGGCACGAAAGCGUAGGGAGCAAACGGGAUUAGAUACCCCUGUAGUC